CAACCCAUGGGAGGAUCAUUCUUGGAGUCACCACAGACAUUACCACGGCGAAUAUCCUUGACGGAAACGUUCUUAACGUUGAAACCAACGUUGUCACCGGGAAGACCAGCGUCGAGAGACUCGUGGUGCAUCUCAACAGACUUGACUUCGGUAGUGACACCAGCGGGAGCGAAGGUGACAAUCAUACCGGGCUUGAUAACACCAGUCUCGACACGACCGACGGGAACUGUACCAAUACCACCGAUCUUGUAAACAUCUUGAAGGGGAAGACGAAGAGGCUUGUCAGUGGGACGUGCAGGGGGCUCAAUGGAGUCAAUAGCCUCCA